CACGAGUAGAAUAUUAUGAGCAACCAUAUGCAAUUAAAAUCAUUUCUUAUAACUCAAUAGAACAAUCAACGUGAACCAGCAAGGAGUAUUACCAAAGAUUAAUGUUUUAUCAAGAUUAUGAACCUUUAAUACGAUAUGGAAACGUAAAAUCUCAAUGGCUCUAAGAAGCACUACCAUAGAUAUUAGAGAUCAUCAUAGCCUUAGACAUAGCCGAUAUAUAGAGAAAUAAUUGUGGAAGCAAGAAUAUACGUCACCUAGACGCUCUAGAGGUAAGUAUCAAACCUGUCCGUUAUUCGCUUAUUUUUUAAAAGUCAUGCAAAACAAAGAAAGAAGGGACAGCGUUACAUACUGUAUAAUCGGGCCGCACGUCCAAUAUUUACUGCUCAAGCUAUUAAUCUAUAACAAGCAACAAUCGUGCUGCAAUUAGAUAAACGUCGCGCUUUACUUUCUUGUAAGCUAGCUAAUAAUCUAACGAAAAUUCGGCAGCACUUCCCCUAUUUUCCUUACUUUCUCCCAAUACGACAACAACCCAAAUUAUCCACAGCAAUACCAAUAACACAUAUAACCCAACGAAUCAUAUUUAACAGCCCCCUCCCCAAAACAGUUCCGUCUCGGCAACCAUAGCAGCGAAGCAACGACACACCGAGCGAUAACUCGUUUUAUAAUUCGCAACAGAUCUACCUUAUCGUAUUCAUCCUUUGGAGUAUAUACUCAUAAUCACAUUUAACAUAAAUAUAAUGCCAAAACAGAAUUUUCCCGCAGUUUGCUUUAAUCAAAACAGCCCAAGCACCAACACGACACCACUAAUAAUCCGAUUAUGGUUUCCGUUCUUACUUAGUACAUUCAAUAACUAAAACAAACUUCCUAAGCUACUGGUCACGCACCUUCUUAAAAUUAAUGGAUAAUUAACAAAGGUAUUCUAAAUAAUUAACACACCAAACAAGGAGAUUACGAACCAAAUUAUUUGCAGCUGCUAGCCAAGAGUUGCAGGGUUGGUUUCUCCAUUUCCAUGCCUGCCUAAAACAAGUGGUGAAGAAGAAGAUGAUAUGCAGCAAUGCAUUGAGUGGAUUUCUACACCUCAUUUAAUAGUAUGAAGUGGAGGCAGCCCCCCUCUACACCUGUCCACUAAGGCCAGCUCAUAAUCUGAUCUUUUUAAUUUUUGCGUUGAGUGGUGGGGUCCACUGGAUUAAAUAUUAAUCAGCCACCAAUUAUGAGUGGUGGGGCCCACUGGAUUAAAUUAAUCCUAAUCAGCCACUAAUUAAUCCCUCACAUAAAGUUAAUGGCACUUACAUUAGCCAAAUCAUACUUAAUAUCACAUUUGGAAUUAAUAUCCUUGCCUAAUAUUUCUUUAAUCACUUGGAACUUAAAAUAAAAUCUCAUUCCCCGUACUUACGUCUACUAGAUCAUGAUGCGCACUACGUAUAAAAAAAUACGAGGCAUAACAGUUUGUUUGGGAUGUCCGCUUGUACAGGGGCAGCCUUGUCGGCUGCGUACAUCAUUGUGUAUUGUGUAGUGGCAGCCUUGUCGGCCUACGUAUGUUAUGAUGCUUUGAAUAGUGGCGGCCUUGUCGACUCGUGUAUAUUUUUAUGGUUGAAUGGUUAUGACUCCUUAUGAGACAGGUCCUCUUUAUAUAUAUAUGACGUUGGGGUUGGCUUGAUUUGAUUAAAUUCCAUAUUGUCUUAGUUUCAGUUGGUUAUACUUAGCAGGUUUGUAUGUUGGUGUCCAAAACGGGCACUAGUCACGGCCCAUCGGGUUGGGUCGUGACACAUCAAGACAUCAACAUAUCAACAUAUAGAUAAUAUGACAUUUCCUCGUCAAAGGCUAUCAAAAGACUUACUUAAGUAGAUCAAGAAGAUAACGUCCAUGUUUGACCUCUUCAAGACUACCCAAAUAAUCCUUAAGACUUCCUAAGUUCAGAUCAUCUCCACAUAAUCAACAUCUUCCCUAACUAGAGUCAUUCUUAAGACUCAUCAAGUUAAGAUACGAGGUAACCAUUCCUAUUCCCCCUUCACACCUUAACUAGCAACCCUCAACUACUCUAGAUAAAUACUUAUUUCAUUAACUUACUUUCUUACUUUAAAUUAAGUCAUUUCAUAUAUUAAUUCAUUAAGACUCAUACACCACAUAGAGGACAUUCAAAUAAUGGUCUUGGACAAGAUCUAGGGACUCUAACUAACACCUUCAAAACCUAUUGUGCAAUGUCUACAUAGCGUUCCAUACAACCACCAAACUUCAUAGAACUUCUCUAGUACUAGUAAGUAUCCCGCAUGAUGAGAAUAGACAAUAACUGACAUAGACCAUGAUAUCUAGAAAUAGAAUCCAGAGUUCUAACCUACUCCGAUGAGGGUGUUCUAUUAUCCAUGGGUAGAACUAGGACACAUCCCAUGUAGGCACAUGGUUAAGGAAUAUGAGGGGCUUUUAUGCACUCUAGUCUCAUUCUCAAGUAGAACUACAUUGUACUAUAGUCUCAUUCUCAAGUAAAUCUUCUUCACAUAACAUAAUCACUAGGUGCUAGCCUUGGUUCUCAUAGAGUAAUUGACAUUAAAGGAUCACAUGAAGAGGUUCCUUAUCUAUUUCAUAACCUAGUCACAUUCACCCUACCAAAUAUUCCACUAGGGUUUCCUUUCAAUGGAGACUAAGAUAGCUCAUUAAUGCCAUGGGGUCAUAUUCAACCAUACCACGCCUAGUUGUGUUUAUAGAGGAAUGUCCUUCUCCUCAACAUAGUUACAAUAAUAGGAAGUCAUUUCACAAAAAACCAAUUUCUAGCAUACCACUAGCUUUCAUAAACAUGCAUCAACUUGGGAAAAUCUUACAAUUUUAGGCAAACACAAUUAAACUAGCUAGACAUGCCUUCAUUUUAAAAAUCGAGCCUACAUUCAUGCUUUCCAAACUAUAAAAGUCACAUAAUUUUCAAGAGACUCAACAUCUUUCAUUUUAAAGAGGCUCAAUUUCUCAAUAAUGGCUUAGAUCACCACACGUUAAAAGUGACAUAAACAUCCUUCUUAUAUUAACUCAUAAAGUUAAAUGCACAAAUAACAUAUAAAGAUGCACAAUCAACUUGAGGAAGCCAUAAUUUGGUCAAGAUUCUAUGUCAUGCAAUUUAGAAUCUUCAUAACAUGCAUAAGUUAGUGUCAACUAAGACAUACAUAACAUAUGGAGAACAAGCAACUCAUACUUCAUGAAAGACUCCCAUCAUGAACAAGCUAUUAGAAAUUCUUUAGUUCUUGCUCAAUUAAGAAUAGAAAGACAAGAUUGAAAUAUCUACAACCUUACUACUCAUAACAUCAUCCCUCACUUAGGGUAAACCUAAUUAAAAAUCAACUUAACCUAACCCCAGGAGGAUCUUAGCUUACCAACCUUCAUCACUAUCACUUAAAAGUGAUAACGAAACUAAAAGCAAUUACUGUAACUCUGCCCUAGGAAUACUAAAGGAUAUUCUAAACUUUAUCACCUAGGCAAAUUAUCCCCCAAUUGGGGUAAGCCUAAUUACCAUGCGUUUAAACCAGAUGGUCAAGGCAAGUCAAAUCCAAUCUAUAUACUUCUCACACAAGAAGGUUCAACAUUCUUGAGGGUUUUCACUCCUAAACUCUCAUCAAGGAGUCUAUCAACUGAAUCAUUAAGGCAUAAUACCUCAUCAUUCCUUUAAGUUCAACACCUAAUGGAAAUCCAUAACAUUCAAGUUAGGUCAUACUACCCAACCACAUAAGAUAUCUACUAUACCAUGAAUACCAAGGGUCAUGAAAAGCUUAGGGGAAACAAUAGAGGAGACAUAGCCAUAAGGUCUCUUUCUCUUCUUUCAAUACUAAGGUAACUUCAAAGUCAUUCCAAUUCACAUCAUCACCCUACAAAUACAAGCAUGCUACCCUCACUUCUAGGAUCAAGCCUAUACAAAAGACUAUGAUCCAAACAAAGAAACUAUAAAGAACCACACAUAUACAAUGGACAACAUUUGAACAAUUACACAUAUAUAAGGCAACCUUGAACUAUUAGACAUACAUAUAUAGGCAACAUGCAUUUUUGGCCAUUUACCACACUUCCUAAAGCAUUUCAAGUCCAACACAUAUAAUAGGAAUAUCAUCAUACAUAAUCGUAUAACAAUACACUACUCCAAAAAGAGACUAAUUUUAACUGUAAUAACUUCAUACUUUAACAAUAUCAUGAAAUACAUUUAUCAUAAUAACAUUCCAUUUCACAUAGAUAUCAUAUAUAGCCACAAAGGGCAUCAUAUCUACAUAAUCCAAAGUUCACAUUCACACAUACUCAUCAAACAUAAAACCAAGAUAAGCAUUAAACUCACCUUUUCUCCCUCAAGCAUAGAUAUAUCAUCCAAGCAAUCACAUCUAAAAGACCACCAGACAAGAAAACAGAAGACAGAGAUCUUAUAGAGUUUAAGUUCUAUGGCACGACAUGAGAAUGAUGAAAAAGAAAAACUCUAUCCUUAUAUAGCCUCUCGCUCAUAGAUGUAUCGCUCACCACGGAUGAUCAAGACUCUACUAGACGUGGAAAGAUGAGACUUUUGGAACAUAAAACCACUUCCAUAACCUCGUGCUCUUAUACCACAUUUGUCAUGAUAGGGGAGAACCCCCUAGAAGUAACAUGGAGUACUUGACCCCUUGGAGGUCUUAUACAAGACCAUAUAUCAUUCAUCGCAUAUUCAUAGGUAAAUUUAGUGGAAAAUUCAAAACGUUAGAUUGCACAUCAUAUGCUAGAAAAAUCCCCUCCAACAUAUAUAAAAUAUGAUAAUACAAAGUUAGACUCUAGGUAUCUUUGUCAUCUUUGACUUGAGUACAUUAUAGACCGAACUUUAUAACAUAAUUCAUUAACUAACAUAUUACAACUUUACUUAAAACAAUGACAUGUGAAUUUCUUGAACUUAAGGAUCCCUUUUCCUUGAGCUUGGGUAACACAUAACAAGCUCCUCACCAUAGAGACAACCUUUAAGCAUUCAUAACCGACACUUGUGUAAAAAAGUUUAGAAGAAUGGUGUUAGUGAAAGAAUGCACUAAGUAUGGCAACCAUGCAUUUCAAAGGGACAUUUUACUAGAAACCAUGCAUCAUGCCUUUUUGUGAAAUCUUCACAAAUCAUUGAUACAAUAGUAUUAUACAAUUCAUAUACUUCACAUAGGGUCAUACAUCAUAUAAAAUCACACACUGCAUUUAAGGCAUAGUAAUAGUCACUUUACACUAAGCAUACUAAAUUUACAGUAAGCUAUUUUCUCAUUACAGUGAACUCCUUUACUUCAUAACUUCCCAAGUAACCCUCUAGUGAGGCUUGGUGCAAUGAAUCACCUCAAGGCCACAAGGUAUUCAUUCAUUAACCUUCCUAACUCAAUAUAUACAUUCAUAGUAGCAUAGUACAUCAUAGACACAUUUAUGUCAAGACUUACAAUAUCAUUACAGUAAGCUCUAGUCAUUAUGCACAUAUACUAACUUUGCUUCACAUAGAACAUUAUAAGAUCUUACUCACAAUCCCAAACUAAGUCUACUAGUGCAAUGCACAUGUGAAGCCCCAUAACCUUACCCAUACUUAUUAAACUUAUCAUGAGACCACAAGCCUUAACAUUCACUUCAUACAUUAACAUGACAAGCAUAGACAACUUCAUUCAUGCCAAGCAAGAACUUUAUCAUAUAGUCAUUAAGACAAACAUUAUGCAUGUAAGGAUAAGAUUACAUAGACUCAUACCAUGCAUUUCAUCACACCAAAUAGACUGUCUACACUACAAUGCCAAUCAUAAGAAACAUAAACAUAGUCACAUGCAUUACAACACCUACCUACAACUCCCUUCAAGAGCUACUUGUGCAAUGCAUAGGUAAAUUCCCAUACCCCCACCUACACUAAGCAAUUUCCCUUAGGUUAUACUUGUUAGGGUUCUUAAUUUACUUCCAUUGUCCAUUUUACAUUAGGAAAACAAUAACCUUAAACGACACUAAGACCAUGGGUUCUAAACAUUGAAUUUGGUAUUAUAGAGCCUUACAACAAUGGAAGGUGCUCUACCUAGAAAAGGUAGAACAUUAACACAUGCUAGCAUACUAAGUGAUAUCAUUUUCUAGAUCCUAUGGUUCAAUCAUAGUUUAUGAAACUUGGAGGCAUACAUGGAAUUAUCACUCUAUACCCUUUGGGCUAUGAGGCUAAUCACCUCGUGAGGACUAUGGUGAACCCAACCUUCCCAUAUUGGGAAGAAACGUUUCACCCCUCAUCUUCAAGUUCACUUGGUGCUAAGAUAAGUUCCCUUUAUUGAAAAGCCAUUAGUAUCUUUACUUUAUAAAAUAUAAUCUUAGAUGAGUUAACUCCUCAUAUAAUUUUCUCAUAGGUCAUAGAUGAGAGUUCAUCAACCUAAAUCAUGUGAGAAACUCUUUCACACGGACAUAGCAUAUUCAAGAACCAUCUAGUUUAAUGUACAAUUGAGAACACCUUUUAAGGCCCUUCUAUUGACUAGAUUAUCAUAGAUGUGUGUGUGUAUAUACAUGUGAGCAAACCUUGCACUUAACACCUUUAGACCACACAUGUUCAUACUUUACUUCAUUCAUGCAUAAGGGCAUAUGUGUAACUACAUGAGCAAUCCUUUCAUAUAAACGCAUUUAGACACCAUACACAUUCAUACUUCAUCAUAUCAUAUACUUAAUCAUCGCAUAUAAUUUAUAUUCAUUACAUGUUCAUGCAUUGUUAUUUAUGUACUUAAAUCACAAACCUAGGAUUAUGUUAUCAAGGCACACAUGUGCUAUGCGUAUACAAGGUCCAAUAUCCUUAUCGAUACUAGUACACCAAUCAAGUCAUCCUAGUUAAGGGAUACAUAACAUACUUCAUAGACAUAACAUUUACAUGCAUAGUGGUAGACAUGACUGUGUAUGAAAAUUACCUUUCAUUAGACACCAUGAACCUAUACUACUUGUAAGAAUGCAUGAAGUGUGAGUGUGUGCACAUUGGUUAACAUAAUCACCUAAUGGCUAUCAAAAACACAUUGAGGCAGCCACCCUGUUAGAACCACAAUGCACAUCCAAGCAUAGACCACACAACACAUACUAGCAUAGGAGAAAAUAAAACUUCAAUACUUGCAUUCAAGACUCCUUACCAUAGCUAAUCACAUAUUCACAAAGGGGUACAUAGGUAAAGGGACAUCAACCAUCAUAGUUCAUCAAUGGCAGCACCUAAACCUAUCCCUAACAUAGUUAUAUACAUGCUUAUACAAUAGACAUACUACCUAGAUCACAAAUAGAAUAGAAGACUAGCUAUGAUACUUCACAUUGGGUGAUCAUCACAACCACACAUUCAUACCACAGUAUCCUUCAAGACCAUGAUCACAUCACAUAUGUAAUAACAAUAAAGUGAACACCCCCACCAUAAGUGGACCAUACCAUACAAUGCCAUACAAGGCUUCAUCAACUAAUAAUUUUUAUACAAUAGACGGGAAGAGCAUUCCUGCGAAUUGAUCAAUACUCAUAUUUCCUAAACAAUUAAUAAUAGGGAAGUCGCUAAAUGUAUAUAAACAUGGACGAAAUCAUGCAUAAACCACCACAAGAUCAUGAUACUAACAUGUACACUACUUCACCAAUUCAAUAAAGAGUAGAGAGACAGAUCACUUACCAAUGUCCCUUUCUUUGUUCAUCAUGAUAAACAUUCAUAAUUCAUAAAAGUAGAACUGCCCUAGAAUCGAGAUCAUACAAGUGUUGUAUAUUAACAAUCAAUAGAAGAUAGAAUAACAUAAAUCAAUACUACCUAAUCUUCAAUCUUUGAUCCACAUUGGAUCCAUUAUAUAUAAUUCAUAAUCAAUUUACAUGAUAGACAGUAGAUAACAAUCAAUUUAACAAAAUUGAAUCAUAUUAUAAUGCUCCUAACAUCAAGAUCAUAAUAACCAAUACAUAGGCUAAAACGAGAAUUUGAAGGGAUCAUGGGUUCAAAAUGGAAUUGGAUUGGAAUUUGUUUUAAAAUCAAAAUAUAAUCAAUGAUUCAUCAGAUGAAUUCUUUUGAAAUCAAUUUGAGAAAGAACUCAUGGCUAGAUUAAAAGAUAGGAAAAUUGAUCAUAUUUGAAAACUUUGAAAGCAACUCUCCAUAUCUAGAGGUGAAGGAUCACCAUACCUCAUUAUAUGAAGAAAAGACUAAAACUAGAUGAACAACCUAUAGAAAUCCCAUCAACAAGCUUACCUUAAGCUUCAUCUCCCAUGGAGGUUUUCUAGAGAGGAUAUUUUGGGAGAGGGAAGUCAAAUAUGAAUCAUGGAUUGGGAAUGGGGUUUUCACAUUUGUAACCAACUCAAUAUACCCAAAAAUAACCAAAUAAACCACCUAUGGUAAGAUUAGGACGUGGGGUGAAUUUCCCAUUCACCCCUUCAAUAAACAGUGCGCAGGCAACUUGUUGCAGCCUGCAUCGAUGGACAGCCAUCGACGCCCCUUACUCCCAAUAAUGAUCAGUAGGUGGCCACUGUCGUUUGGUUCUGAGGCUUAUCAUUGGUUGAGACUUCUCCAGGAUAAGUGUGGGACGACGCCUCCCCAUUGACGUGGCGACAACACACCUAUUGGGCGUCGAUUGAAGGUCGUAGGUAGAUAGUGCCAAUGUCAUAUAUCGAGAGCCUUUGGGUCCCCCUUGAUGGCCUUUUUCAGGGCCCUUGGUGAGUCAUACCCAAACAUUUACAACAUAAAUACAGACCUUAACAUGUCAACGACCUUCCAUACAAGUUUGAGCAUCAAACAACAAUAGCAGCACAUCCAAACAUGCUAGGCACACUCAAGUCACACAUGCAUGUCACGACCCGACCAGGGUGGGCCGUGACUAGUGCCCGUUUAGGACACCCACAUACAAACCUGCUAAGUAUAACCAACUAAAACUAAGACAAUAUGGAAUUUAAUCAAAUCAAGCCAACCCCAACAUCAUAUAUAUAUAUAUAUAUAAAGAGGACCUGUCUCAUAAGGAGUCAUAACCAUUCAACCAUAACAGCAUACGCGAGCCGACAAGGCCGCCACUAUUCAAAGCAUAAUAACAUACGUAAGCCGACAAGGCUGCCACUACACAAUACACAAUGAUGUACGCAGCCGACAAGGCUGCCGCUGUACAAGCGGACAUCCCAAACAAAACAUGUCCAGACCAUUAUCUAAAACAUAUAUAUACAACCCACAUAAUGUCCACAGACCUCUAAGAGUACAGUAGUAAAACUCGACGGGACAGGGCCCCGCCAUACCCAUAGACAAGCAAAAGACUACACAAAAAGUUAUGUACCAAAAUGACUGGGCUACGAAACAAUGGAGCUCUCCCGAUCAGCAGAGUAGAUAUCCUAGGUGGGAGGAUCACCGAACUGUGCGUCUACACCUGCGGGCAUGAAACACAGCCCCCCGAGGAAAGGGGGGUCAGUACGGACAAUGUACUGAGUAUAUAAAGCAUAAGGUAAAGAUCAUAGGAUACCAAUAUGGCAAGUCGAAACAAAAUAUCGCUACACAUAUACCCUUUUAAGUGAAUAUCAUGCAUAUAUUUAAUAUUUAAGGUGCCCAACUUCCCUAGUAAGGGGCUCAGCAAAAGAAUCAUCACGUCAUCUCUGUCAUCAUCAUCAUCAUGACCAUCCUCAUCACCAAUCAUAAAUAUAAUAUACAUACCCGGCCCUCUAGUGAGGAACUUGGUGACAUAUGCAAGAAACUCCGCACGAACAUUACCAGGCCCGGGACUCGGUGAAAUGAUAAAUGACUCUAUGCACGAGCAGAAUAUUAUGAGCAACCAUAUGCAAUUAAAGUCAUUUCUUAUAACUCAAUAGAACAAUCAACAUGAACCAGCAAGGAGUAUUACCACAGAUUAAUGUUUUUUCAAGAUUAUGAACCUUUAAUACGAUAUGGACACGUAAAAUCUCAAUGACUCUAGGAAGCACUACCAUAGAUAUUAGAGAUCAUCAUAGCCUUAGACACAGCCGAUAUAUAGAGGAAUAAUUGUGGAAGCAAGAAUAUACGUCACCAAGACGCUCUAGAGGUAAGUAUCAAACCUGUCCGUUAUUCGCUUAUUUUUAAAAGUCAUGCCAAACAAAGAAAGAAG
rnacentral:lncRNA from 1 species